CCCGACUCCUGGAGCUGCCUGGCCUGCGAGGGCGGCCUUAGCGUAGGUCCUGGCGCCCACGCCCCUGCCGUCCCGUGUUGCCGACAGUCCCACGUUGCUGACCGCCCAGCUCCGGCGAGAUCUGGGGCCAGGGGCGCCCUGUGCCCCCUCCCCUCCCUCCGUUUUCUUACACUGUGAGGCUCUGUAUGAUUAACUCGGUUUUGAGAUUUAACACUAGCACAUGCACAGAGUUUUAAGAAAUUCAAACACGAAGGUAUCAAAGGAAAAGAAUCCCCUGGCGGGACCCAGCCUUCGCAGUGGUCCAGAGAAGGCCAGCUGCAGGGGAUGGAGAAGCAGGAGGUGACCUGAGAGACAGGGCAGCCAUGGGGUCUGGAGAAGCACGCAGUCUGGAGGUUCUGCGUGUCAGCCUCAGCUCCCCAUGCCUGCCAUCUGCCCUCCUGCUCCUCUGCUGUCCACUGGCCUUGGCCACCCUGGCUCCCAGGCUGCCCUAGCUCCCAGCGCAGUGGCUGCUCACACAAGCCAAGUGCCCUGGGUCUGCCCUCCUGACCCUCAGGCCUCUGUGGGGUUCCUUCCUUGCCUCAGGUAUGGUCUGUGUCUCCCCUGACUUCCCCCCUCCCCCAUCUGGGUAGCCCACACACACCCUGCACACACCAGAACACAAGCUUCCUGAAGACAAGGCCUGGUUUUUCACUGUUUUAUCCUCAUUUCCUAAAAAAAAAGGCUUAGGUACACGUGAAAAGGGUUACUAAGCAUUCUUCACCGUGGCUACCUGAGUCUCCUUCCAGGUCCUCGUCACCUGCUUGACUUCAUCCCGUCAAGACCUCCAUACAUGGUGUUUACUGCGAGUUUAACAUGCAAGUUAGGACAGCAGCUUUUCCUUGGCUCAAACUCCACCGUUGCUGCCUCUAACUCUGAGACCUCAGAGGCUUCUGUAGGGUGUGCUGUCGUGCGCCAUCCAGAUGCCCCCAGUCCCCAAGACCAAGGCUCUGCCUCCAUCAAGACAACUAACCAGCAGCCCCAGCUGCUGAGCAUCUCAGAGGGUCAGCCGAGGCCCCACAGACCUGCACAGUGGUCAAGAUACUCCUCUGCCCGAUCCUUCUUCCCUCCCACGCUCACAGGACUUUUCUUCCGAGAACACUCCCAAUAACCUCUUGCACACAAACCUCUGCUUCAGAGUUUGUGUCCAGGGGAGCCCAGCAGAAGAUGGUGGGGCCAGAAGUGUUCCAGGAGCAGCCUGUAUGGUGGGGUUGAGCACAGAAUGCCAAGUGGCACAUCACUGGUGGCACCACAGCCCUGCCAGGCAGUAGUAGCACUGAGCCAGGGUGGAAGCCCAAUGAAAGAAACACACUGCUGGGUGCCGCAUCCAGGGCAUCGGAGUGGCUGGGAAGAGCAGCAACCAUCUGCAUUACGGAAUCAGGCAGCUCUUGCCAAGAACAAGGCAAUGAAAAGAUCUCCAAUUUUAAAAAAAAGUGACAAAAAGAGGGCUUCCUUGGUGCCAUAUAGACACUCUCCUCUCCUGCAGCCAGAGAACCAAAAAGAGCCGUGGAUCAAGACUCAGUCCUAAAGACAGCAGCCCUCAACCCAAGGGAGGCUGCUGCCCAAUGUCAGGACCUGGUUGGGAAGAAGGGAGACCCUGAGGCUUCAGGGAGGGUCAUCUGAUCAAUACACUCAAAUUCUUGAACCUCAGGUUUCCCUACAUCUUCUGGACCCGAAGAGGUGUCCUUCUUCUCCCUGUUGAAGGCAAAUGCUCUAUCUGUGCUGGAACAUGACGCAGAGAUGUCUGUAUGACGACACGGAUUCCCCAGUGAUCUGCUCCAGCUCUGCUCCUCCACGACAUCAGUGUCACGCAGCUGGAGAAGCUCAGGGUCUGACGAGGAAGGAAGGACCUGUCAGCAAACGAGCGUCAGGACCCAGGAAACAUGUACCAGCAGGAGCUGGGAGAGUGCAUGCAGAACCAGAUCCAGAGGACACUGGAUUUAGGGAGGCAGAACACAAAGGUUGAUCAGAAUUCUCUUCUGCACUCCCCUAAAAGGACGUUUGCAGUCUCAGUGACUCACCUUUGCUGCUGUGCUUCAGUGCCUGGCACAUAGUAAAAUCUCAACUAGUACCUGUGGAAUGAGUGUGGUGGUUUCUCCUGUUGUCUCACAAAAAAGCUGGGAAUAUAACAUUCAAUCAGAAUUCUGAUACAAUCUAUUCAGACACCUGGGCGUCAAAGAAUGGGGCUCUGCAGCGACCGACAGCUUGGAGAGGAAGUGCGCAAAGUCCAGAGAGAUGAGUCACAGCACACCCUCGAACCUCCAUCAAAUUAUCCAGGAGGCAAAGGAGAGAGGCAGCUGAUUCCCGCCACUGGGGCUGGGACUUGCUGUGCAGACUCUGCUCUGACUCUCGAUUCUCACGGCACAGGCUCCACGGGAGCAAGGGCCCGGGAGCCGUGGGAAGCCUGCGUGGGACCCGCAGACCCCUGUCCAGGGAACCACGUGAUGUGCACAGCAGCGGGUCCCGAACUGUCCUCAGCACCAUGGCAACCAGGAGCAAGGUUUCUCAGCAGCCUGGGAGGCUGGUCCUUCAGCAAACAUCAGACUACAAGACCCACAGAAGAGCAAAGAAACUUCAAAGGGGAAGACGUACUUGUGUGCCCAGACCACAACACAACUCAGAGCGUCUGCACCACGGGGACCAGCAGCCUCAACACAGCCCCGCUCUCUCCAGCCGGUUGUUAAGCCUUUCCCAGCAGGCAGCUGGUUGCGACCCGCAGUGUGAAAUGCCCUAUUCUGGUUGAUGCCCCUCACCUGUCUCACCCACCUUUGUCUUUAGGUGAAGAGACUAAAGCGAGGUUGGGGAGAGCCUGGGACCCAGGACAAGUUAGGGUCCAGCUGGGAGAGGUACCCUGUCUUCUGAGUCUGGGUCCAAUGCUGUCACACCCACAAAGUGCCCCCUGCCACCUCUCCCUCCCUGGAGGUGAGGACCGUCCGUACAUAGCGGGCGUGAGGCUCCAGGGCUGGAGGCAGAACACUGCCUUCUGGGCUGUGGCCCUCCAGAGAUGUGGACAUGGGGCAGGCGCCUGCUCCAGGCCCGUUCACUCUCCUGCACAGCCCAGGACCCACGCAGCCCAACGCUGGUCUGCUUGGUCGAGCAACUGGUGCUCAGCUGGGCGGGUCUGGGCCAGGGCAGGCAGGGGCAGGGAUCCGGCCAGCUCUGGGGAGCUGUGGGGUCAUGGUUUCUGCCCGUUCUGCUGGUGGGCGUGCUUCCCCUACACUCACGCAGGGUACCUUGUGUCGGAGGCAGGGGAAGAGUCAAGGGUGCACGCAGGAACAGGAGCCCUCAGGGCCGUUCCUCCCAGGCCGUCCGGUGGAGCAUCUGAUGGGAACUGCUUGCAGUCCGUGUGGCCGCACGCAAGGCCCUCGCUUCCUGGACAAAGUGCCUGUGAGCAGCCUUCCAAAGCGCUACUUUCCCAUCACCAGUUUCAGUCACUGCGAAGCGACAUCACGGGAAGUUCGAGGACGCCCCGAUGCUCCUGCCUCUCUCCAUGCACGCCAUCGUCACGUCGUGACGGAGGUGCUGACAACAGGACUCCACCCCUCCCUCCAGAACACCGUGUCCCUCCACAUUUCACUGUGUGGGCACGGAGGCCCCGCAGGUUUGCCCUGGGCCAUGGGACCGCCCAGCUGGGCCCCGUGGGCUCCUGUGUAUGUGAGGGGACCAGGUAAAGGAGGCCACGGUCUCACACCCCAUCAGAGCCCCCUGCAUCGUUCAGGUCACACGACAGCAGGCACAAUUAGGGUCCCUCUUUCCCCUGGAGGAAGCACCGUGCGAGCAGCAAUGUGCCCCUAAUGAGGACAUGGCCCUGACGACGCCAGCACAGACGAGGCCCAUCACCCUGUGGUCCAGCCUUCAUCUCUGCCUCUCCUACUCGAUGGACCACGGUAGAGACAGCAGCUUGAGCAGCCUGGGCAGGAGGAGGAAAGGCGGCUGGAGGACCCGUCAGACAGAUGGGCCCUGGGCUGAAACGUACUUUGGACUCCCGGCUGGAUUAUCAUCUGCAAUUCUAGCUAAACUCUGGCUUAUGCGGUCGGAGGGACUCAGAAUAUAAAUUUAUGGAGAUAAAGUCGCUACCUCCUGGGAUGUCCCCUGAUCCUACAGCCACUCUGAAGCUACCUUUGAAGUAAAGAUGUGGAGUCGUAGGAGAGGUCUCCGUCUCAUUAAGUCCCGUGAAGGCAUCUCAUAUACUUUCACCAGGAUGGAUGAUGUUGGCAUAGCACCACAAAGCACAACUUCCUCCUCUGAGAUGUAAAUGCACGAGGAAGUAACCUAUGAGAAAUAGGAACGGCUGACUGGGAGAGCCUCACCAAGUGUCCUGCUGACAAGUCUUCUCAAGCUCCAGAUUGUGGGGGCCAGCCGGCUUGCCCAGGGCUGUCCCAGUUCCAGCAUCCAAAGAAACCCCUCGGUCUUGGGCAGACUGAGAUAGCUGGUCACCCUAGAAUCCCCCAUGAGAUCUGAGACACUGCCACCCAUUUCACAGUUGAGGCGGUCAUGAUUGGGAGCUCACGGCAGCUCCUGGAGGUCACACAUGCACCUGGAACAAAAUUUAAACAGUACAGGAGGUGGAUGAAGACCAGCAGAGCCUUCGCUCACCCCAUGCCCUAGCUCAAAUUCCGCUGGGAACCUCAGUGAGACGCUGAGCUUUCUAAGAUGCUAACUCGUCUGCUUCUGGACCAGCACUACCACCACCACCAGGAGGACUUUCAACCAGUAUUUG
rnacentral:lncRNA from 1 species